UACGGAGGGGGCUAGCGUUGUUCGGAAUUACUGGGCGUAAAGCGCACGUAGGCGGCUUUGUAAGUUAGAGGUGAAAGCCUGGGGCUCAACUCCAGAAUUGCCUUUAAGACUGCAUCGCUUGAACGUCGGAGAGGUGAGUGGAAUUCCGAGUGUAGAGGUGAAAUUCGUAGAUAUUCGGAAGAACACCAGUGGCGAAGGCGGCUCACUGGACGACUGUUGACGCUGAGGUGCGAAAGCGUGGGGAGCAAACAGG
rnacentral:rRNA from 2 species